ensembl:lncRNA
GUGAGAAAGAAGUACCCUGGAGCUGGUCCUUUCCGUUCUGCCGCCCUAGGGGAAACCAAAAAAUGCUGCCCCCUGCAAAACUAGAAUAAUCCCCGAUGUUGAAAAGGCGUGUUUUCUGGACGUUGAAAAAUAUGUAUUUUCCGGACGUUGAAUUCAGGUACAUUUUUGGUUUUAAAUUAAAGUUGAAAAGAGGUCAUUUAUAGACGUCUAUGUUUGGCUCAAAUCAAGGCUGGUCCAUAAAUGUAUGUCUGUGGACGUUGAAAUCAAAUCUGAACCAAACAUAGACGUCUAUGAUUUGUUCAGAUUUGGUCUGGACCGGACCAAAAACCAAUGUCUGUGGCAAUCAAGGCUGGUCCAGACUGCCCCCCAAAAAAAUGUCCAAAAGGCGUCGCCGUCGGUCAUUGCUUACUGAGGUGUAGCCUGAAAUUGAAUUUUAUGAAUGUCCAUCUAUGUGGUAAACCUACCCUUUAAAAUUAAAAAAAGACAUCAAAAGACGUUGGCUCGUGCUUACUGGGGUGUAGCCUACCAUGUCAGCCACAAUGGAAUUUUAUAAAUGCUCAUUCAUGUGGUAGGACCACCAUUUGUAAAAACAGGCUGUUGUAUUGGCUUUAUUAGUCCUGAUUCCUGUGAAUAAUCAAUUUGGCUAUUUAAAUUCUGUAUAUCAGCUACUCAACUUUAUCAGGAGUUAUCGUGAGCCUGUUUGCAAUGUGUUUACACGGCGGGGAAAGCAGAAUGAUUUUCUUUUUCACUAUGACCAGCUUGUACAGAUACAAACUUUAAACCAUUGAUCAUGACAAAGGGGUGAAACUCCUGGACAACAGCUGUGAUUGUCCAUUCCAUUUUGUCCAUUUUACUUUGUUUGACCUGUCCUGUUUUUAGGAUAUGUUGUUUGUUAAAAUUACAGCACAUAUUUUAUUAGAUUUAGCACCAUUUAGGUUAGUUAGGCAAUUUGAUCGGAGAAACCUACAUGAUGUAAAAAAAAGUGUCCGUCUCAUUACAUUGUCUUACGUUUUAUAUCUCCAUUCCUUGGCCUACAGAAAUGGCUACAUACCCUAUCUACCAUAUCUUAUAUCUGCUACAUGAUUUAUGUUCGAUUCUUUUUUUUGACGGAACGUUGGUGGAGCGCUGCAGCGAUGAGUCUCUCCAACAGCACCCUGGAGAGGCACGCUGGGAAUGAGGAAGCAAAAUAUUGUUCGCCCCUACCUUUGACAAAGUGGGCACUGCUUAUCACAGGGUGGAAUCAGCGAUCACCUAAAUAUCCCACUGGUUGAGAGAAAUUGUCAUUGUUUUGGGGCAGAAUUAUGUGAGGUUUUAUGUAUUGUUGCCGCCCUCGUCAAUCUAGCCUAAUCCCGCCUAAUGAGCGGGCAGAUGGCUGUGCGCUGGAGGCGGGGGACACGAAGGGUAAUAUUUCGAUAAUGAUAGCUAUUUUAUCUUCUUUUAAACUGAGUCCCAGCCACAAUCACCUCAUAACCUGUCUGUCAUUGAGCCAUCUUCUGCCACAGGACAGAAAUGACAAAUAAAAGUCACCCAGCUAAUUGUAAACAGAUGGUCCCCAUGCUGACACAGGUUUACCACAGAGACCUACUGCACAUUUUAGUAAUGACGGGUCAUCUCUCUACAUCCUAUUGACUUUAGAGGAACUCAGCCCUUUCCAUUGUAGAUACCCAGUCUAACCCCAAAGUCUGCCCGCUCUACCUCACGCCUAACCUAGCCUACCUACAGUACAUAACCACUAUCUGCCCCCCCCCCCUUCCCCCACAACAAAUGAAAAACAAAACUACGACACAUUCUGUGAAAACAUGUUUCUACCUGCUCUAGUUAAUCUUUUGCUUGUAGGCCUAUAAUGUAAUAUAUAUUUAUGGAAAUAUUGCUGUAAUUUUCUGAUGGAAAUGCAAAUAAAAUGUUUGUAUAAUUUAGAACUUGUGUAGAUCAAUGUAAAUGGGAUUUACCUGUAUAAAUA